rnacentral:lncRNA from 13 species
GGCCUCCCGGGGUCAAAGUGCAACACUGCAGAAAUCCAAACUGCUUGCAUCCGCGGUUUGAGGACGCCAGAGGAGAUCAAUGAUUUCUGGUUUACCUCGGGCGACAAAAACGGGAGCCGAGCAUGCAAUCUUUUGAUCCACGGUCAGACUCGUUACCCAUUGCGCCACUGGUACCUCACGCGAAAUCUACUGGCGGUUGGAUUACAGCGUGUUGAGAACACACUCGGCAACCACUUUAAAGGACAAUGCAGGCUGGUAAAGUACGACAAGAGGCGACAGUGGAGUCGCAGGGUCUCGGCACCGCCGGCCCCAGACACUCGGGUUCACUGCCUCUCCCAGCUCAGUCAGGCACGCGAGCCAGGGCGCGCUGUCUUUCUGCGCACGCGUAGACCACACAGGCCGGCUCUGGGGCGCUGCGCUCCUCGGAUUACGCAUGCUCAGUGCAAUCUCCGCCUGCCUGGACUGGCCCUUAGGUUUUUCUGUGUUGUACUUCAAGAGACGCAGGCGCAAUUACGCGUCCCUUCGAUAGCUCAGCUGGUAGAGCGGAGGACUGUAGCUACUUCCUCGGCAGAAGACAUCCUUAGGUCGCUGGUUCGAUUCCGGCUCGAAGGAGACGAGCGGACUCACCUGAGGCUAAGCUGCCCAUAGUUCGGGGAGACCCACAGGGAAAACAAGACAAGAAACAGAGAACUUGGAAACGGACGCUGAUUACUUUGAACGUUUGCUCAGCCGAGGAACUGUUCGGCUUCAUCUCAAGUCCGCAUGGCAGGCUGCCUGGCUCUGGGCAGAUAUGAGGUGGAUAGGAUAAAGCAAAAGGUGGCCCUGGAGAAGUGAGUGGAUAAACUCCCUGGACACAGGGGCUGCUUUUGGAGGAGGUUCUAACAUCAUUGUCCUCCAGGGAAGUAACUGUGGAGAGUUAACUAGAAACUAGCGCUGAGAGAGUAUUAAUUGGAUAAAAGUUCUAUCUAGGGCAGCCCUUGAGAGUAAUUUUGUUAAGCAAAGACAAGACAAAAACAAAACGAAUAAAAUCCUAACACACAUUUACA